rnacentral:rRNA from 1 species
UACGUAGGGUCCAAGCGUUAUCCGGAAUCACUGGGCGUAAAGCGUGCGUAGGUGGAUUGUUAAGUGCGGUGCGAAAUCCUGUGGCUCAACCAUAUGGACUGUAUCGCAUACUGGCAAUCUAGAGGACAUGAGAGGCAAGUGGAAUUACUGGUGUAGCAGUGAAAUGCGUAGAGAUCAGUAGGAACACCAAUGGCGAAGGCAGCUUGCUGGCAUGUAUCUGACGCUAAGGCACGGAAGCGUGGGGAGCGAACAGG